UGAGUGAAAAAGUGAAGACAGUCAGAGGCCUGAAAGUUCCCAGAAUUAGGACCAUUUCUGCAGGUUGUUUGUUUUCUAGAAUUUAUCUAAAGAAGGAAGGUGUCUCGUCAACUUUUUGUUCUUUGUCUCCAUCUUCAAGAACUGGGAACGGCAGCCACUUUCCACCAUGUGGCAAGCUUUUCCAAAAAGGCACUGUAAGUGUCUCCGGUGCUCAUCAAUGCUUAAAGUCCUCAUCUCGUUCCUAGGCAUACCUUUUUUCCUGGGAGACAUCCAAGCACAGUCAGUUACACAGCCAGAUGCCCAUGUCACUGUCUGUGAAGGAGACUCGGUGGAGCUCAGAUGCAACUACUCUUUUCCUGGAGCUCCUUACCUCUUCUGGUACAUGCAGCGCCCUGGCCAGGGCCUCCAGCUUCUCCUCAGGUACUUUUCAGGAGAAACUCUGGUUCAUGGAGCAAAUGGCUUUGAGGCUGUUUUUCAGAGGAGUAACUCUUCCUUCCACCUGAAGAAAGCCUCUGUGCACUGGAGUGACUCGGCUGUGUACUUCUGUGCUCUGAGUGCACAGUGUCUGAGCCUGCAGGGGGAGCUGAAUGCAAACCUGUAA